rnacentral:lncRNA from 10 species
GACACCUGUCACUGCCACUCACAUUUAACUGGCUAAAACAAGUCAAGUCAUAUGGCCAUAUCCGAGUUCAGUGGAGUGCAGAAGAGCCUGGACCGAACUAUACUAGCACGGAACGAUACUGUACUAUAGCCCAAAAAAGGAAGGGAGCCAUAUACUUGUGAACAGCCUGAAAGACUACCACAAAAUGUAACAGAAAUGGAUGCAGAAUGUGGUGUCUGGAGGAAAGCAUCAAUCUUGUCAACAUGAGGAUGAUAGCCACAUACAUGUUUAGGACAGUAGAAGAAGCCUGUAUCCUGGAGGCCUUCCUUGAGCUGCUGAACUAGUCCUGAAUUGUCUUCCUCCAGGUUUCCUGUGAUGAGAGAAAAAUAAAGCCCCACUGGAUUCAA